rnacentral:lncRNA from 1 species
UAUUCACUUGUUUUGCUUUAUCUACCUAGUUUUGCUUUAUUUUCCUCCAUAGCAAUAAGACCAUUUAAUAUAUAUUUAUAAGUUAUUUAUUUACUCAUGUUCUAUUUUUCCCCAUUAGAAUAUAAAACAAAAAUAUUUCUGUUUUAUUAACUGUACUAUCUCCCCUACCCAGAACAUGGACUGGUAUAGUAGGUAAGAAACAAUAUGUGUUGAAUGAAUGAAUAAUUAAUCCUAAAUACAAUAAUCAAGGGUGUUUAUUCAUUCAUUUGUUGAAUCAAAGAGAAUCAAACAAAUCUUGUUUCUGUCUCCAACAAAUGCUGGAACCUUCAGGAUUACUUGGUCCUGUAUAGGAAAUGUGUCAUUUUACAGCUGUGUAAAGUAGAAAGUAAUUUGUAGAAAACUGGUAGUAAUGCAAAUGAUGUUUUUCUUCAACAUGCAAAUCAAUUCUAUCUUGUGAAGCUUCAACUUGUCUUCCCCAUUGUCGAAGAAACCAGUUUUUUUAUACAUUUGUGAAUUUAUUUCACUAUUCUUCAUCUAUAUAUGUGUCUGUUCUGUGGAUUUUCCUUUGAACUAGCAUUCGCUUAUCAGUUCUCUCAAUUAAUGAGCUAAAUACAAUCUUUGACAUGUUUUUAUUUUAUAUUUGUAUGAGAGUCAUGAUUUUAUCUUUUUGGAAAUUUACUCUUUAACAAAUUUGUAAAUAUACCUUAUGCUUGAAUGUGACCUAUUUUAUCAAAGUGUAUCUUUGGUGAAGUCAUUUUAAAGCUAGGUACUUGAUGUUUUUGAGUUGGUUUGCUCACCUGUGAUGACUGAGUGAACUAAUACCUGGCAAGUAUAAAGGCAUGUUGGUAAAGGAGACGUAGAAGAAAUAGAUUAGAAGGCCAGGAUGAGUAAAAAUGUGGGAGGAUACUAGAUGUUAAACUCAAAAAAACUGGGAGGAGAUGUUGCCUUUGAAGAGAUCUGAGAUCUGAGAUCUGAUACCACAAAUGCCUUAAUGUGGCUGGCAUUCAUGAGAAGGUAUGCAACUAUUGAGGAAAUACGAAGAACUCAGAAUGUCAAGAGAGAAGAGGCACAACUGUUGGUAUGCCCAUUAUGUCCAGUGGAAACUUUCACUCUCAGAUGUGGAGGCCAUCUUCAUGACCACACGGUUCUGAGUUGACCUCCUUGAUGGUGCCUGAGUUGAUCCUUGGAAAUCAGCUACAUCCUAAUAGCUGACCACAAGGCAGCAGUCUGCCUAGGAAGCACUAGACCAGCAUUAUAAGUAUUGUGCCACACAGUGUCCAGCCAUGAACAGAAUAGCAAUGCUCCAUCUUUGCUAGAGGACCACUUGGAGAGAAGCAUAUUAUCCUUAGCCAUUAAGUACAGACACAAAGAGGCGGGCCCCAGUGGACUCCAGGACAAGUUGGAAAAGCCUUUGCUGCAGACAGAACCAGCUGCAUUUGAAAACCUGUCUUGCUAAAUUGAGAGCACUUUGGACCUUCCUUUUAACUUCAGAGUUACCUCUCUAGAUGCUGGUCAGUCCGACAAGGUUUAUUUAGUGACACGAGGCUGAGAAGAUGAAUAUCCUCACGCUCAGUUAUUUACAUAAAGCUAAGUAGCAAAGCCUGUGAUGUUAUAAUCAGGUACCUAUCUACAGGACAGUUUUGAAUGACACAGGGUAUGAAAAAUGUUUACUCUAGUUUACACUAUUUUUGAAUAUUGAUUAGUCUCUACAGUGAAAAUAUUAAUACUUUUUAAUGACCUAUAUGAUAAAACAUGUAUUUGAUUGGCUUCUUAUGGCAUUACUCUUACAAAAAGCUGGGAUGUCAUCAUGUGCAUUCUCUGCCUUUGAGCCUCUGAUGAUUCCAGUCAUUUCAGAAAGAUAGGGCUCUGCCCUCUUGCUUCUGAUUUGCUGGCAAUAGACCUUCAGCUAAUAGUAUAUCUGCUCAGCUGAAGAUGGAGUGCUAAUCUAGGGGGACUCGAAAUGGCUCUGUCAUUUUCUAGAUGACAGCUCCUAUUUUCCACUGGCUUCUGGCACAUGCGCUAUCAUCCAUCUAUGUCAAGAAGACACUUGCUUAUCUGGUUGCUAGAAAUGCUUUUGUUAAAAACACGUAACUGCAGUUCAUCAGUCUUGUGAGGAAGUUGUUGAUUUUGCUAAACUAAGUUUAAACUCCUCUGUGGUUUUCUGAUAUGACAUCUAUUUUUAUUAGAUAUUGUCAUGAUUAUUUAUAGCGUCUUAGAAGCAUACUAGAAUUUUUUUUUUUAAUAGCAAGUUAAUCAGCUGAUUGGUGCAAAACAAAAGUUUCAGGACCAGGUAUGCCCAUAUCAAAUUUCAUUCUUCAUUUUUAGGCAACCCUUAAUUAAGAAAUUACUGGCUAUAAGAAGAGAUAGAAGUUGAAUUAGGACCAUAAAAAAUCAAAAUUCAAUGCAAAUAAUGUAUGCCUCACAACAAACGAUGGCAAGUAUUUAAAAAAAUAAAACCAGUCAUCUGGUUAUAACUUAUGAAAUACUAUGAAACACCAAAGAAUAUCAUCUGUGAAUAUUCUUGAUCAAUUUGUAGAAGUAAAAUUUCUAUUUACACUGGAAAAGAUUUCUUUUUCUGGUAUUCUUUUUGUUUUGACCAGUCUGCUCUCAUUCUUUCUGGUUUGAUUAAGACUUGAUCAGUCCAAACUUGUGCAAACCCUGACUGAUCCCAACUAGCCGUAAGUAUUCAGGAAGCGGCUGAAGAGUUCCCAUUCAGGACAACCAGCUAAUAUUGGCUCAAAUCCUUUUGUCAAAUAUUAACUCACAGCCUAUAAGGUCAUUAACAGUGCCCAAGGCAAGGAUGCGCCUCCUAAUCUUUGAAGAGUAGUACCCAAAUGUCAAAACCAAGUGCUGUUUCCAGCUGUCCUUUCUCAUCCUUGCCCAUCUGAAAUACACCUUCGUGUUCUUUUCUCUUUCCUUCUUUUCUUCAUCCAAAUACAAACUCACAACUCUUUCUAUAGCUGCUGGGUCUACCAUGUGGCCUUUUCAUGACAUGGAUUGGGGAGUACCAGAUAGGGCACAUUUUGUGGCAGCCAUCUACUUUCUUUCAGCCUUUUAAAAACAGUGGCCAUGACUAUUACCAGAGAGAUGGUUGGAAAGAGCUGUUUUGAGAUUUGCUGCACCUCAGAAGCCUGUGUCUGAUGGAGGAGAAAUGAAGCCAGGAGCUGAAGCUAGUACCAUAAAGCUUUCCUGAGAGAUUUGAAUUGUGGAUGGGAAGUUAUGGCUUCUGGGCGUGGAAACAGCCCCAGAGCUCUGUUCUUGGGUCCGUUUUCUGUACCUUUCACUUAAGCUGAUGAAAUGGACGUGAUGAAGGAUAAGUGCCUGAACGUUUUUAACAUCUAAAAUAUGUGCAUAACAUUGGAUGUGUAAAUGAAAUUUAAAAAGGAGCAUAGCAAUUAAAUUGAAGAAACAAUGAGGCAUCUCUCAUAAACAGAAGCUCUGUAUUUCUUGAAAGAAAAAACACAUCGAAAAAUAAAGACAGAGAAAACAGAAAACGAAUUUAUUUACUUUUUAGCACAAGAUCAAGUUGGAAGAGAUUUGUCUAAAAUGGGUAAUGACAUCAAUUUUAUGAUAAAGAAUUAUAUUUCUAAUAACAAAAAGUGCUUCUAAUUAGUUAUAUUGAUAUUCAAGUAGUUGUAAAUUGAGGGAAAAUAUUUGAUAUUAAGUUAUUUACUUUUUAAAAAUACUUGCAGUUAAGAUGCUCAUUUUUAAAAAACCAAAUUUCAUGUUGAUUAUUUUGCAACUUUAUGAGUACAUACACACCUAAAUAUUUUUAAAAACAUAGCAAGUGCUUCGUUUUCUCCUCGCAUCUCUGUCUGACUCUUUUAAAAAUAGAUGAAUCCAUUGCUAUAAAGCAGAACAAAACCAAAUAAAAUGCAUAUGAACUUCAGCCCCACAAAUUUGAGCAAAACUUUCAAACAAUGGAUACUUUGAAUAUUUUGUACUAAUCCUAUUUAACUAUUUUUUAUGUCACUUCUUCAACUAUAUGUAUCAGUAAGAAAUUAACUGCCUAUAAAAAUUUGACAGUUAUAUCCUAGAUUUUCAGAGUGGUAUAGGUCAAUAUUUUCAAUAUAAAAAUUUAUCUUACAAUAUAUGCUUUUAUAAGGGAGUGAUAACAAUGGUUUACUUAUGCAGCUGUGACAUACUGGACGAAGAAAGAGCUUUGCUAUCAGGAGAUGAGGGCUAAUACCUAGCAUAUGUCAAACGUGCUAGCAGUGGUGUUCCUAUUGUAUUCUGACAACAGAAUCAGAAGAAAUAGUGUUAAGCUGAGGAAAAAAGAUUUGGGGCAAGGAACAGUUUUCCAGAUGAGGGGUUAAGAAACAUUGCUUACUUAAUAAGACAUUUUAAAAUUCUUUUUUAAGCACCAGCAUGGGGUGACCUCCAGAGACCAGCUUUUACAGAGAGGCUUGACACUCAGUUGCAUUUUUC